AAACCAUGAUUUGAACAUUUUUGAAGCAAACUCUUGUAACGAUCCCAACAUUCAUACAUAGAUUCAUCAUCGCCCUGGUGAAAGUAUGAUAUAUCAUUUCUCAGCUU